rnacentral:rRNA from 1 species
AUUGAACGCUGGCGGCAGGCCUAACACAUGCAAGUCGAGCGGUAGCACAGAGAGCUUGCUCUCGGGUGACGAGCGGCGGACGGGUGAGUAAUGUCUGGGAAACUGCCUGAUGGAGGGGGAUAACUACUGGAAACGGUAGCUAAUACCGCAUAACGUCGCAAGACCAAAGUGGGGGACCUUCGGGCCUCAUGCCAUCAGAUGUGCCCAGAUGGGAUUAGCUAGUAGGUGGGGUAACGGCUCACCUAGGCGACGAUCCCUAGCUGGUCUGAGAGGAUGACCAGCCACACUGGAACUGAGACACGGUCCAGACUCCUACGGGAGGCAGCAGUGGGGAAUAUUGCACAAUGGGCGCAAGCCUGAUGCAGCCAUGCCGCGUGUGUGAAGAAGGCCUUCGGGUUGUAAAGCACUUUCAGCGGGGAGGAAGGCGGUGAGGUUAAUAACCUCAUCGAUUGACGUUACCCGCAGAAGAAGCACCGGCUAACUCCGUGCCAGCAGCCGCGGUAAUACGGAGGGUGCAAGCGUUAAUCGGAAUUACUGGGCGUAAAGCGCACGCAGGCGGUCUGUCAGGUCGGAUGUGAAAUCCCCGGGCUCAACCUGGGAACUGCAUUCGAAACUGGCAGGCUAGAGUCUUGUAGAGGGGGGUAGAAUUCCAGGUGUAGCGGUGAAAUGCGUAGAGAUCUGGAGGAAUACCGGUGGCGAAGGCGGCCCCCUGGACAAAGACUGACGCUCAGGUGCGAAAGCGUGGGGAGCAAACAGGAUUAGAUACCCUGGUAGUCCACGCCGUAAACGAUGUCGAUUUGGAGGUUGUGCCCUUGAGGCGUGGCUUCCGGAGCUAACGCGUUAAAUCGACCGCCUGGGGAGUACGGCCGCAAGGUUAAAACUCAAAUGAAUUGACGGGGGCCCGCACAAGCGGUGGAGCAUGUGGUUUAAUUCGAUGCAACGCGAAGAACCUUACCUGGUCUUGACAUCCACAGAACCUUCCAGAGAUGGAUUGGUGCCUUCGGGAACUGUGAGACAGGUGCUGCAUGGCUGUCGUCAGCUCGUGUUGUGAAAUGUUGGGUUAAGUCCCGCAACGAGCGCAACCCUUAUCCUUUGUUGCCAGCGGUUAGGCCGGGAACUCAAAGGAGACUGCCAGUGAUAAACUGGAGGAAGGUGGGGAUGACGUCAAGUCAUCAUGGCCCUUACGACCAGGGCUACACACGUGCUACAAUGGCAUAUACAAAGAGAAGCGACCUCGCGAGAGCAAGCGGACCUCAUAAAGUAUGUCGUAGUCCGGAUUGGAGUCUGCAACUCGACUCCAUGAAGUCGGAAUCGCUAGUAAUCGUAGAUCAGAAUGCUACGGUGAAUACGUUCCCGGGCCU